GGCAAAUACUUGAAGGACCUGGAUGUUACCAUAUUUCCUCGGUAGAAAGCCAUGUGUGACUAGCUGCUUCUGACAAUCAGCAGGGCGUGGCCAGCUCUGCCAAGGUGGCAAUGGAUGCCAAUCUCAGAAUGUCCUCCGACAGAUUGCCUUCAUGCCGAGCAAGUGAAUGAGAUGUCCGCAAAGCGGACAUUAUUCUCUGAAGAGUAAAGUGCAGAGCGGACCAGAUUAACAAUAUCCGUAGUGGAACAUGACAACCAGAACAGGACACAGUACUCCAGAAGAGGCCUGAACAACAUUGUGUACAACCACAACAUGAUGUCAGAACUCCUGUACACAAUGUCUGAGCAAUGAUGGCAAGCGUGCUCAAUGCAUUCCUCACCACCCUGUCAACCUGUGACUCUGUCUGCAAUGAAUUAUGUACCUGAACCCAUCAGUCUCUGUUCUACAAAACUACCCAUUUUACACAUCUCUAUCAUUUCCGCCUUCCUCAACAACCUUCUCUGCCUGAAAGAAAACAACCCAAACUCUCUCCAUCACAUACAGAAAGAAGAUUUGUUUCUGUCAGUCUUCCCAAUUGGAUAAAUACCAGUGCAAACAAUGACUAAUACAUGAUAUUGUAGUAUUGGUAGUUCACAGAUUCACACUCUCACCAUUCAGUUGACUUCGCCCAAUCUCUGCAUAAUCGAAGUUUCUUGUGCAUCUGUCUUCACUCACAUCCUCAGCUCAAUUUCCCAUCACCUCGCUUGGAAGGAAGUAUUUUCAGAUUGUUACCCAAGCAAGUCUCAAUUCUCCUUGCGACAACAAUUCACAAUCUUCUCCCCCUUUGAGAGAAGCCGUUUGUUCUCACUUCUGCUUUUGAUCUGCCACACCACUUGCUCCUGAAGCAAUGACUCUCUUGUUCUAGAUUGCCUCACAUGAAGAGACAUCUCCUCUCCAUCUAUUUUUUUCAAUUCUCCCCUUGAGCAUCUUCUAUCCCUCAAUUUAAUCUCUUCUCAUUCUUCUAAACUCCAGAGAAACUGCUCAAUCUCUCUACUAAGGCAAACCAGUCAUUUUUGGAAAGAAUCGAGUGAAUCUCCUUUGAACUGCCUCCAAUACAACUACACCGCCCUCAUGUAAAGAAACCAAAAUUGUACCAGUCUCUCCUCACAAAGCUCACAUUUCAUUUUGUCAUCAAUCCAGUGAAACUGCUGUGAACUCUCUCCAAUGCAACUGCUUUCCUCCUCAUGUCAGUGGACCAAAGGACUAGACAGUACUCCGGAUGCAGAAAUCCCAAUGCCUUGUACAUUUGAGAAGUCACACAACACCAGGUUAGAGUCGAAUUAGUUUAUUUAAAAUCACAAGAUUUUACCACACUGCCCCUUUGUCAGGUGAAGCGAAGGAGAGGCACAUACACAGAAUUUGUAGGAGUCUCAAAUAAUCAGUCUCUUUAGGUGAUGAAUAGUUUCAGAGCAUUCAGACGAUGUCAGCAGCUGAAUAACAAGCAAAGGGAUGAGCUAAAAUCUGAUAAAAUGAGGCAGUGAGAUAAUUACGAGAACUUAAAAAUAUGAUGGUGUUGCAAAUAAAUGAAUGGGAUAACAUGACAGGUGCAAGAGUCAUAUACCAAGGGUUUAACCAAAGUAAUAAGUAAACUAAAACUGUAUAAACUAAUGGAGGUAGAGAGAUCAUACUAAUUUAUCAAGCUGGUUUUGUCAGAACAGGACAGCGAACAACGUUUUACAAUUACAGACCGGUGGGUGGGGUCACAUGUAGCCUGCCAUGAGCCCAAGAUCACGGUUGAGGCCGUCUUCAUGGGUAGGGAUCUUGGCUGGCAGUUUCUGCUGCGGUGAUUCUGCAUUGUUGUGUAUCUCGAAGGCCACCUUGGAGGAUGCUUACCUGAAGAUCGGGGCGGGGGGGCGGUGUGUGUUGCUGAAUUAAUAUUAGAAGUAAUACUGUCAACACUUUUGAUCACCUGCAGAGACUUAUUAUUCGACUCUCCACUCAAUACCUUUAAAUGAUAUUUUCAUCUCUAUGCCACAAAUCCUGUAUCUGCGUGCUUCUCCUAAAGCUUGUGUUUCCAAAUAAAUCUGUUGGGCGCUAACCCGGUGUCAUGUGACCUUUGACAUUGUCCACUCCAGUCGAACACCAGCACCUCCACUUCAUUGUGCGGUUGAAGCAACACUUCCCUACGUUUAUACUCCAUGCGUUUAGCAAUAAAUGACUUUCUUAUUACUUGCCGGAGCAGCAUGCUAGAUUUCUGAGAUUCAUGCACAAGGACAUUCAGAUCCAUCUGCACGAAUAAAUUAUUAAUUUUCUCUCCCAUUCAGAUGGUAAGUUGCCUUUUUCAAUUCUUCUAACUACAAUGGAUAACCCCAUCAUUGAUGUGACUGAGCCACACAUUUCAGUGUCAGAUGGAAGGUGUCCUCAAUUUGAUCUGUUUUGCUUUCAAUUUGCAAAUGAGUCGGACACAAUAGUAUAUUUGCCACCAUGUAAAAUUGUUGGGUAUGCACCCCACAGCAAUUUUCACCCCAUUUGGACUGUUUUUGAAAGCUGUUACAAGCCGCUAAACACCUCACUAAAUUACCUCUGCUGCCGGGAUCUGCUGGAAGAAUCAGCUGGAAAAACUGAGAGAGAGAGAAAACAUGGGAAUGUUUUACUGUAAAUAUUUGGCUUCACUUGUUUGCAAAUAAAUUUGGUUUCCUCGACUGAUGUGCAGGUAGCAAUAAUUCAAAUUUUAUCCUUUAGUUUACAUCUGUGCUGACCAAUCUUUCAAACACAACACAUUACUUUGUCUGUCUUCCCUUGUAAUUCCAUCUGCUGCUCAUUCAGCCUGCUCACACCCUCACAAAGUACAUUCACUCGUGGCACAUGGACAUCACCGGCUGGGCCCAGCAUUUAUUUUCCCUGUCCCUACUUGACCCCUUGAGAAGGUCGAGGGAGCUGACUUCUUGAACCGCUGCAGUCUGUGUGCUGUGUGUAGAUGCACGAUGCCCUUAGGGAGGGAGUUCCAAGAUUUACUGACCCAGAGACACUGAACAAAUGACUGAUAUAUUUUAAAGCCAGGAUGGGGAGAGGGUCAGAGCAGGAUUUGUAGCAGGUAGUGUUCCUGUGCAUCUGCUGCACUUGGCCUUGUAGAUGAUAAUGGCCAUGAGAUGGAAGGUGCUGUGUCCGCAUCUCUGGUGAAGCUCUCCAGUGCAUCUUAUUGAUGGUACACACUGCUGCUGCUGAAUGUCAGUGAUGGUGGGAUUGGAUGCUAGUGGAUGUAGUGCCUGUGAGUAUUUGUGGGUGAGUGUGAGAGAAA